UACGUAGGGGGCUAGCGUUGUCCGGAAUCAUUGGGCGUAAAGAGCGUGUAGGCGGCCCGGUAAGUCAGCUGUGAAAGUCAAGGGCUCAACCCUUGAAAGCCGGUUGAUACUGUCGGGCUAGAGUCCGGAAGAGGCGAGUGGAAUUCCCGGUGUAGCGGUGAAAUGCGCAGAUAUCGGGAGGAACACCGGUGGCGAAGGCGGGUCUCUGGGCCGAUACUGACGCUGAGGAGCGAAAGCGUGGGGAGCGAACAGG
rnacentral:rRNA from 1 species